GUCUUUAUGUAUGAAAUAUAAAGUCUGGCCUGCCCACUGAUUUUUUUAAAGGGCCGCGGUAAAUUGACCGUGCGAAGGUAGCAUAAUCAAUAGUCUUUUAAUUGGAGGCUGGAAUGAAUGGUCGGACGGGGAUAGUCUGUCUUGUUUUUAAUAAUUGAACUUUACUUUUAAGUGAAAAGGCUUAAAUAUUUAAGUGGGACGAUAAGACCCUAUAAAACUUUAUGUGUAAAAUUUGUAUGUAAAGUAUUUAUUAACAUUAAUAAGUUUUAUUACAUUGUGUUGGGGCGACAGAGAUAUAAUAAUAUAACUGUCUUUAAGAAGAAAUAACAUAAUUAUUUUUAAAUUGAUCCUUAAUUUAGGAUUAAAAGUUUAAGUUACUUUAGGGAUAACAGCGUAAUUUUUUCUGAGAGUUCUUUUCGAAGAAAGUAGUUGCGACCUCGAUGUUGAAUUAAGAUGUUAUCAAGGUGCAGAAGCUUUGAUUGUAGGUCUGUUCGACCUUUAAAAUCUUACAUGAUUUGAGUUCAAACCGGUGUGAG
rnacentral:rRNA from 1 species